rnacentral:rRNA from 1 species
UACGUAGGGCGCAAGCGUUAUCCGGAAUUAUUGGGCGUAAAGAGCUCGUAGGUGGUUUGUCGCGUUGUUCGUGAAAUCUCACGGCUUAACUGUGAGCGUGCGGGCGAUACGGGCAGACUUGAGUACUGCAGGGGAGACUGGAAUUCCUGGUGUAGCGGUGGAAUGCGCAGAUAUCAGGAGGAACACCGGUGGCGAAGGCGGCGACCUGGUCCUUGACUGACGCUGAGGCGCGAAAGCGUGGGGAGCGAACAGG